rnacentral:tRNA from 1 species
GUUUCCUUAGUUCAAAAAGAACGGCGGAUUUUCAUUUCGCAAGUCCUGGUUAGAGUCCGGGAAGAAACC